rnacentral:rRNA from 1 species
GACGAACGCUGGCGGCGUGCUUAACACAUGCAAGUCGAACGGAAAGGCCCGGCUUUUGUGGGGUGCUCGAGUGGCGAACGGGUGAGUAACACGUGAGUAACCUGCCCUUGACUUUGGGAUAACUUCAGGAAACUGGGGCUAAUACCGGAUAGGAGCUCCUGCUGCAUGGUGGGGGUUGGAAAGUUUCGGCGGUUGGGGAUGGACUCGCGGCUUAUCAGCUUGUUGGUGGGGUAGUGGCUUACCAAGGCUUUGACGGGUAGCCGGCCUGAGAGGGUGACCGGCCACCUUGGGACUGAGAUACGGCCCAGACUCCUACGGGAGGCAGCAGUGGGGAAUAUUGCACAAUGGGCGGAAGCCUGAUGCAGCAACGCCGCGUGCGGGAUGCCGGCCUUCGGGUUGUAAACCGCUUUCGCCUGUGACGAAGCGUGAGUGACGGUAAUGGGUAAAGAAGCCCCGGCUAACUACGUG